rnacentral:rRNA from 1 species
AUGGAACACGACAAGGCAGAGAAAAUGAAAGGAAAAAGUGAUCUACCCUAUGGCAAUCAGCCUAAUCUUGAAAAUGAAAGUGGAAUCCUCGAGGGGGAGGGGCCAAGCAAAUACAUCGUCCAGUCUCUUGAUUCAUCGAUGGACAAUGAGAAUGAGGUGAUUCCCACCCCUCCUCUUGUCACAGAAGAGAAUCUUCGCUUCAGUUUGCGCAACACCCAGACUAACCUGAUGCGAAUUGAUAAAAAGGCAGCUGCAGUGGCCAAGAAGCGCAAUCUGGAAGGUAAUAACAGUAAUAGUAACUCCUUUGAUGUGCUAUCUAAUCCUGAGUUAGUUUUACGUGCUGUUAAAAUGGGUGUCGAUAUUCCCGACACAGACUUUGCGAGCAUAGAUAUUCUUCGUGAACUUGAAAAAUCUCGAGUUAAUGCUCUGAAUAGUAAUAAGGAUAGCACUCAAGACAAUGACGAGAAUAAAAGUAUGUUCGUUAUCAAUGCCAAAGGGGGUAAAAUACCUUUAAGUACGGAUUGGGGGGAUGAGGGGAACCCUGACACUGAUACUAAUGAAUUUACCCUGGUUAAAUCUAGAAGAAGAUCUAGGAAACCUGUGGUGAAUGUUAGUAGACCUGUCACCAGGAGUCAGAGAGACAGGGAGUCAGCCCUGAUCAAAGUGGGUAACCUUGUUCAGCUUCCUAACAAGGUUACCAGGGGGAGAAAACAUAGUACAGUUGUCAAAUGA